UACAGAGGGUGCGAGCGUUAAUCGGAAUUACUGGGCGUAAAGGGUGCGUAGGUGGUUUGAUAAGUUAGGUGUGAAAGUCCUGGGCUUAACCUGGGGACUGCGCCUGAUACUGUUGAGCUAGAGUACUGUAGAGGAAAGUGGAAUUUCCGGUGUAGCGGUGAAAUGCGUAGAUAUCGGAAGGAACAUCAGUGGCGAAGGCGACUUUCUGGACAGAUACUGACACUGAGGCACGAAAGCGUGGGGAGCAAACAGG
rnacentral:rRNA from 1 species